rnacentral:tRNA from 1 species
CUUUAGCUCAGUCGGUAGAGCGCCGGACUGUUAAUCCGUAGGUCGUUGGUUCGAGCCCAACAA